UGUAUCGAUUAUAGAACUUACAAAAAAAUGACUGCUGACAGGACUGUUGAUAGUUCUGUUUUAUAAACUUGUUUGUCAGUAGUUUGCCUCGCCGUAGAAAUUGUUCAUACGAAGAACAUGCACUUGUGUAUUAAAUUAACUGAAAGACAAAAACACUAUAUAGACUUGAUGAAGUUAUAUAAGUUUGCUACAUAAGUAGGGUAAGUUUACUUAAGAAAAAUUGAAGUCAUCGCAUUUAUCAUAAAGUUUUGUUGUUAGGUUACAAUCAAUGUUUAUUACCAGUUAAAUAUCCAUAUGGUUUUAUAUAUAUAUAUAUAUUUAUAACGGACAGAAUAUAUGCAAAAAUAUAGUGACUAACAAAUAUAUACUAUACUUCAAAGAUUUUAGCACUGCCAAACAUACGUUUCAGUAAAAAGCUUGCUAAAAAGUCUAAUUUUGUUUGAACCUUAUUCUAUGAAAUAGUAAAAUAAAUGUGAAAUGUUAGGUCUAAAGUUUCAGUUCAUAUAUACUUUGUAUGUUCAGAACAAAAUUCACUCAUGUCAUUGAAAACUCAAACCCAGAAUAAACAACAUCCUUAAUUGUCACCUUCAAAAAACC
rnacentral:sRNA from 1 species